rnacentral:rRNA from 1 species
UGGGGAAUUUUGGACAAUGGGCGAAAGCCUGAUCCAGCAAUGCCGCGUGUGUGAAGAAGGCCUUCGGGUUGUAAAGCACUUUUGUCCGGAAAGAAAUCCUUGGCUCUAAUACAGUCGGGGGAUGACGGUGCCGGAAGAAUAAGCACCGGCUAACUACGUGCCAGCAGCCGCGGUAAUACGUAGGGUGCAAGCGUUAAUCGGAAUUACUGGGCGUAAAGCGUGCGCAGGCGGUUUGCUAAGACCGAUGUGAAAUCCCCGGGCUCAACCUGGGAACUGCAUUGGUGACUGGCAGGCUAGAGUAUGGCAGAGGGGGGUAGAAUUCCACGUGUAGCAGUGAAAUGCGUAGAGAUGUGGAGGAAUACCGAUGGCGAAGGCAGCCCCCUGGGCCAAUACUGACGCUCAUGCACGAAAGCGUGGGGAGCAAACAGGAUUAGAUACCCUGGUAGUCCACGCCCUAAACGAUGUCAACUAGUUGUUGGGGAUUCAUUUCCUUAGUAACGUAGCUAACGCGUGAAGUUGACCGCCUGGGGAGUACGGUCGCAAGAUUAAAAGCUC